rnacentral:rRNA from 1 species
AGAGUUUGAUCAUGGCUCAGGAUGAACGCUAGCGGCAGGCCUAAUACAUGCAAGUCGAACGGUAACAUAUCUAGCUUGCUAGAUGAUGACGAGUGGCGAACGGGUGCGUAACGCGUAUGUAAUCUACCUUUAACAGAGGAAUAGCCCAGAGAAAUUUGGAUUAAUACCUCAUAAUAUUAUUUGAUGGCAUCAUCAAAUAAUUAAAACUCCGGUGGUUAAAGAUGAGCAUGCGUCCUAUUAGUUAGUUGGUGAGGUAAUUGCUCACCAAGACUAUGAUAGGUAGGGGGCCUGAAAGGGUGAUCCCCCACACUGGUACUGAGACACGGACCAGACUCCUACGGGAGGCAGCAGUAAGGAAUAUUGCACAAUGGAGGAAACUCUGAUGCAGCCAUGCCGCGUGCAGGAAGAAUGCCCUAUGGGUUGUAAACUGCUUUUCUACAAGAAGAAACACCAGUACGUGUACUGGCUUGACGGUAUUGUAGGAAUAAGCACCGGCUAACUCCGUGCCAGCAGCCGCGGUAAUACGGAGGGUGCAAGCGUUAUCCGGAUUUAUUAGGUUUAAAGGGUCCGCAGGCGGAAUAUUAAGUCAGUGGUGAAAGCCUACAGCUCAACUGUAGAACUGCCAUUGAUACUGAUAUUCUUGAGUGUGGUUGAAGUGGGCGGAAUAUGUCAUGUAGCGGUGAAAUGCAUAGAUAUGACAUGGAACACCAAUUGCGAAGGCAGCUCACUAAGCCAUUACUGACGCUCAUGGACGAAAGCGUGGGUAGCGAACAGGAUUAGAUACCCUGGUAGUCCACGCC